rnacentral:rRNA from 1 species
UACGAAGGGGGCUAGCGUUGUUCGGAAUCACUGGGCGUAAAGCGCACGCAGGCGGAUUGAUAAGUCAGGGGGGAAAUCCCGGGGCUCAACUUCGGAAUUGCCUUUGAUACUGUCAAUCUCGAGUCCGGGAGAGGUGAGUGGAAUUCCUAGUGUAGAGGUGAAAUUCGUAGAUAUUAGGAAGAACACCAGUGGCGAAGGCGGCUCACUGGCCCGGUACUGACGCUCAUGUGCGAAAGCGUGGGGAGCAAACAGG